UGCGGUGUGGCUCAGUGGUAGAGCAUUGCCUAGCAUGUGUGAGGCCCUGGGUUCCAUCCCCAGCACCACAU
rnacentral:tRNA from 1 species